AAGGGCACCACAAGAACGCGUGGAGCAUGUGGCUUAAUUUGACUCAACGCGGGAAAUCUUACCGGGUCCGGACACACUGAGGAUUGACAGACAAUCGUGCGUAUAUUUAUAUAUACGUACAUCAAAUAAAGAUGCUAGUUCUUUCAUGAUUAUGUGAUAGGUGGUGCAUGGCCGUUCUUAGUUCGUGGAGUGAUCUGUCUGCUUAAUUGCGUUUCACAAUUAUAAUUUAUGGCACUACUACUACUCUUGACCCCGUAUAGCAAUAUACGCGCUGUGUCUCGAUGGUACGUAUAGCUAUUAUUUUAUUGAAAGCAACGAACGUGACCGUAUUCAAUUAUUACUAUACGCCCAGUGCGUAUAUAUUUUAUUGAGACCGCUGUUUCUUUCUUAAACCAGAGGAAGGUUACGGCAAUAACAGGUCUGUGAUGCCCUUAGAUGUUCCGGGCUGCACACGUGCUACAAUGAUUAUUUCAGUAAGUAUCUCUGUGCAUGCGUAUAUACGUAUACGUAUAUUUCCUACCUCGAAAGUAAGGUGGGUAAUCAAUUAGAAGUAAUGAUUUCCGUAUAUAUUUAUACACAAAUAUACGGGCACGCUGUAUAAUUUAUUUAUACUGUGCCCUGUAUGUAUAAUUGUUAAUUCAUGGUGGGGACAGUCCAUUGUUAAUUGUUGGUCUCGGUCUUAACUAGGAAUGCCUUGUACGGGUCUUUGGUUCAUCAAACCACCCGGAAUACAUCCCUGCCCUUUGUACACACCGCCCGUCA
rnacentral:rRNA from 1 species